GCUCUGGGUUCCCUCAUGCUCCUGAUAAGUGAUGUCAGGCCUUGAGGGCUUAGCAUUACUUCCUCCACUGAAGCCCCAGAGACGGCAAGAUCCCGGCUGUGGCUGACAGCAGAGCCCACAGCCACGCCAGCUGGGCCAUCAGACCUGGUUGCCAGGGUGCAGCAGCAGGUUCCCAUCUGAAAAUCAGCACCUCCAUGACUGUGUUUCUGAAGAGACCCAAGGCCUGUGCUGAAACCGAGGGCAGUGGCAUGAACUCUGGACUCUAAUCCUCAAGGCACUAACAACUAGGAAUGCAGAGUGGCUUUAUGAAGCGGAAUAUAAAGGAUUGGCAGAAUCCCUGCCAUCAAGAGCUUAUGGUCUAGCAGGAGC